GACAGAUAUCAUUGUCACUGUUGUGCACAAGUUUCCGGAAUACAGCUCAACGUGUAUUUCACUCUGCAGCACAAUGAAGGAGCAAAACUACAGCGAAGAAAUUACAAAAAUACUAGAGGAGGCUCCCGCAGCUCGAAAGGCGCUUCUUGACAACUACAACAAUUUGUACAAAGUAGCCGAAUACUGCGAGAGCAACUACCUGCAGUCUGGUAAUGACUCCAAGAAAGCACUGGAUGAGACCAAGGCCUUUACCGCCCAGUCAUUGGCUAGUGUGGCCUAUCAGAUCAACUCACUGGCCACCAAUGUCUUCAAACUGCUGGAUUCACAAACCCUGCAGCUCCGCAAAAUAGAGUCCUCCAUCAACCAGAUCGGAGAGACGGUGGACAUGCACAGAGAAAAGGUGGCCCGUCGAGAGAUUGGUGUUUUCACAGUCCCCAAGAAGCUACCACGCAGUCACAAGAUUGUCCCCCCAGCAAAAAGUAAAGAGCCCAAGCCGAAAUACUCCCGCACACCCAUCUCCUUCUCCAUCCUGGACUCUGUAGGUCAUGGCAUUAAGGAUUCUGGGCAGCCACAGGUAAAAACCGCGACCAUGACACGUAGCAGCAGCAUAUUGAGUCGAGGCGGCCGUCCUCCAGAGCCUGUCCAGUGUCCCGUGGUGCCCACUUUGUCCCACGGAUCAUCAGUGACCUCACUCAAUGAGAAAUCUUUAGCUUCUAGCUUCGGUAAAGCCGUACCACCUCCAGUAGUGCCCAGUUGGCCGGCCAGCUCUGAUGGUGACAUCGUGAGUACAAUGCUGGAUCAAGGUCCACCUCCUCCACCCCCACCGAUGGAGUUCGAGGGUGCACAUGACCAUGGGCAGGAUACUGGUCCACCGCCACCUCCACCUCCUCCGUUUGACUGUACUGAAGUCCCUCCGCCUCCUCCUAUGCCCCCUACAGUAAAUCCACCUGAUUCCAGCAGCUUGUCGAGCAUUCCACCUCCUCCACCAGCUCCACCUCUUGAGACAGUUGCCGAGGAGAAUGGAUUUCAUCUACCAGGACCGCCCUGUGACAUGCUUCCUCCACCAGUCCCUGAUGGUUUUGAUCUUCCUCUUCCACCACCUGUACCUAAUGAUGUGAACAUCGAAGCUACGCGCACACGGCGGUCACGAGUACGUCGACAUCCUCCUAGCGCUCGCUCUCUCUCUCUAAGGGUCCGCAUGGGCCCCAGUGCUCGCUCGCUUUACACACGUUCACUUUUUCUGCCUUCCGCUCAAUCACUCAUGAUACCCCCGCCCCCUCCAUAUCCACCUCCUCUGGCUCCGCCUGUUUCAUUGAGCCCAUUGUGCAGGAUCCCUGCCCGCCUGCAGCACCUGGAUCUUGAGAUUCCUGCUCCGCCCCCAUCACCACCAGUGGAUUUUGACAACUAUGAUGAAAUGCCCCCUCUACCGCCCCCUAUUGAUUAUGACACUUCUGCACCAGCUGAUUAUUUGGAGAAAGUGGUGGCACUGUAUAGCUACGACACAGGCAAGCCAGGUGACUUGGUCUUUCAGGAAGGUGAUAUCAUCUACCUUACCAUCAGGAAUGAGGAUGGCUGGUGUGAGGGAGAACUGAAUGGAGUCAAAGGUUAUUUUCCUGGCAACUAUGUGGAGUCAACCGCUUAACUGGCUAUAAGAGUCACCGUGGAAUCACAGCAGUGUCUACAUUUGUCCUGUAAGCACCUGUUUAUUAAGGGUUGGAUCUGAAUUUCUCAAAGUUGCAUCUGACACAAAAAUGAAUGAAUACUUUCCAACUUUUCAGAUUUUCAUACCUGUCGCAGUCAGUUUUAUUGUGGUAAUCUGCUGCGUUGGCUUUUGUAAAACCUACCAACGGGCCCGUAAGAAGCAUCUUCAGCGGCUGGCGGCUCAAGCUCGGGAACAAACACCUGUCUAUGUCAUUCCCAUCUCUCUGUCCGAGGAUGAUCUGCACAGACCCCCGCUUUAUAGCACAGUCCAGUUUUAUGACCCACCUCCUGCUUACAAUGAGGUAAAACCUGAGGUCUUUCUGCAGGAACCCCCACCUACAUACAGCGAGACCUUCUCUUCUUCACUAUCAAAUUCAUAAAACAAAACGCACUUGGACUGAUUAGAGAGAAUAUAUUAAGGAAACCUUGCAAGUCAUCAUUUUAAAAGUCACCCAUGCUGCUACUUACUCUGCAAAGUUUUAAAGUAUAAGAGAUGGACUAUUAUAAUAGAUAAUAAACAUGCGAUUCUGUUGGGAUUUUACGUCCAUAUGGAUUUGAAAGGGAGUUUAUUUUGUAGAUUUGUAGACCAGUUGUUCUCAAACUGGGGGCCGGGGCCCAAAGGGGGGCCGCGAGAUGGUGCCAGGGAGGCUCCAGUUUUAUGACAUUUUAUAAAAUACUUUAAUUUAUCAUGAAUUCUGUGUAAUUAAACCUAAAAAAAAAAUAAGGCUAGUAACCAACAGCACUACUUUGUAUAAUUUAAUAUGUUUUGUUUGAUAAAAAAGAACUGGUUUUUGUUAUAAAUUUUCUUUGGGGGGCCGCAAAGAAAUGUGCCGUACACAAGGGGGGCCGCACACUUCAAAAGUUUGAGAACCAUUGUUGUAGACAGUUGUACAGUUUAAAAGUGUAUGUGUUGUUGUUUGUAAAUAUGCUGUACAUUGUUGGUACCUUUAAAAGUGAGUUGGUAUGUUUAUUUGUAAGAAACGUUAAAAGAUAAGUGGUUGACUAUGUGUCCAUCAGAUUUCUUUAUUUAAAAAAUGGGUCCACAUAUUUUUAAAUAAAAU